UACGUAGGGGGCUAGCGUUGUCCGGAAUCAUUGGGCGUAAAGCGCGCGUAGGCGGCCCGGUAAGUCCGCUGUAAAAGUCCAGGCUCAACCCUGGAACGCCGGUGGAUACUGUCGGGCUAGAGUACGGAAGAGGCGAGUGGAAUUCCUGGUGUAGCGGUGGAAUGCGCAGGAUAUCAGGAGGAAUACCAAUAGCGAAGGCAGCUCGCUGGGACGUUACUGACACUGAGGCGCGAAAGCGUGGGAGCGAACGGG
rnacentral:rRNA from 1 species